GUGUCAGCAGCCGCGGUAAUACGUAGGAGGCGAGCGUUGUCCGGAAUCACUGGGCGUAAAGCGCGUGUAGGCGGGAAGGCAAGUCUGCUGUGAAAGCGCCUGGCUUAACCGGGCGAGGUCGGCGGAAACUGCUUACCUGGAGGACGGUAGAGGGGGGUGGAAUUCCCGGUGUAGUGGUGAAAUGCGUAGAGAUCGGGAGGAACACCUGUGGCGAAGGCGGCCCCCUGGGCCGGCCCUGACGCUGAGACGCGAAGGCGUGGGGAGCGAACGGGAUUAGAUACCCCCGUAGUCC
rnacentral:rRNA from 1 species